rnacentral:miRNA from 8 species
CCUGUGAAGUUUAGUUCUUUAG